rnacentral:rRNA from 1 species
GAUGAACGCUGGCGGCGUGCCUAAUACAUGCAAGUCGAGCGAACAGACGAGGAGCUUGCUCCUCUGACGUUAGCGGCGGACGGGUGAGUAACACGUGGAUAACCUACCUAUAAGACUGGGAUAACUUCGGGAAACCUGAGCUAAUACCGGAUAAUAUAUUUAACCGCAUGGUUCAAUAGUGAAAGACGGUUUUGCUGUCACUUAUAGAUGGAUCCGCGCCGCAUUAGCUAGUUGGUAAGGUAACGGCUUACCAAGGCAACGAUGCGUAGCCGACCUGAGAGGGUGAUCGGACACACUGGAACUGAGACACGGUCCAGACUCCUACGGGAGGCAGCAGUAGGGAAUCUUCCGCAAUGGGCGAAAGCCUGACGGAGCAACGCCGCGUGAGUGAUGAAGGUCUUCGGAUCGUAAAACUCUGUUAUUAGGGAAGAACAAAUGUGUAAGUAACUAUGCACGUCUUGACGGUACCUAAUCAGAAAGCCACGGCUAACUACGUG